UCCGGGUUUCGCCCGGCAGUCUCCCUAGAACAUUCAGCUAAGGACAAGGGUUGCGCUCGUUGCGGGACUUAACCCAACAUCUCACGACACGAGCUGACGACAGCCAUGCAGCACCUGUGUUCCGGUUCUCUUUCGAGCACUCCCAACUUUCAUCAGGAUUCCGGACAUGUCAAGGGUAGGUAAGGUUUUUCGCGUUGCAUCGAAUUAAUCCACAUCAUCCACCGCUUGUGUGGGUCCCCGUCAAUUCCUUUGAGUUUUAACCUUGCGGCCGUACUCCCCAGGCGGUCAACUUCACGCGUUAGCUACGGUACUCAGAAAUCGCUUCCCGAACACCCAGUUGACAUAGUUUAGGGCGUGGACUAC
rnacentral:misc_RNA from 1 species